AGCGAACGUUAGCGGCAGGCUUAACACAUGCAAGUCGAGCGAGAAAGGGGCUUCGGCCCCAAGUAAAGCGGCGGACGGGUGCGUAACACGUGGAUAAUCUGCCUCGUGGCGGGGGAUAACAGCCCGAAAGGACUGCUAAUACCGCAUGUCACGAUGAAGGUCUCGGCCUUCAUCGAAAAAGAGGGCGCCGCAAGGGCUCUCACCACGAGAUGAGUCCGCGUCCCAUCAGCUAGUUGGCGGUGUAAUGGACCACCAAGGCUUAGACGGGUAGCUGGUCUGAGAGGAUGGCCAGCCACACUGGGACUGAGACACGGCCCAGACUCCUACGGGAGGCAGCAGUGGGGAAUAUUGGACAAUGGGCGAAAGCCUGAUCCAGCCAUGCCGCGUGCAGGAUGAAGGGGCUCUGCCCUGUAAACUGCUUUUGAAUGGGCGAAAAGCCUCACUUGUGAGGAACUGACGGUACCAUUAGAAUAAGCACCGGCUAACU
rnacentral:rRNA from 1 species